rnacentral:lncRNA from 1 species
CUUGGACAAAGAUAAUCCAAGUUGCCUCCUCCACAAGGGUCUGGCAGUAGAGAAGGGAGAAGAGGACCCAAAGAGACUACUCAUCUGCAAUUCAGAGAGUGGAGCAUCAAAUUAACUCUCCCCCCCCUCCCGUUCUGAUAGUACCUGAAAUACUAAUCUCUCUCUUUCCAACUUUGUAUCCUGAAUGUUAUUUCUAAGGUGUCCCUGAGAGGCAGCUGUGGAAUGAAAAAAUCACUGAGGAGCUGAGAAUGAGAAUGUCCUGGUUCUAAUACUAAACAACUGUGUAACCUUGAGCAGAUCAUUACUUCUCUGGGCCUCAGUUUCCUCUGGGGCUAGAUAAAUUAUCUCUAAAGAGACCAUUCCAUCUAUAUCCCACAGCUUCUCAAGCAUAUUUUUUCCUGACAUCAGUUCUAUAUCUGUCUAUCAUCAAAGAUGUUAUCUCAUUUUUAAAUACUGGAGACAAAAAUGAAGAAAAUUAAAUUAUUGAAAGUUUCAGGGGCAGCUGGGUGGCUCUGUGGAUUGAGAACCAGGCCUAGUGAUGAGAGGUCCUAGGUUCAAAUUUGACCUCAGACACUUCCCAGCUGUGUGACCCUGAGUCACUUGACCCCCACUGUCUAGCCUUUACCACUCUUCUGCCAUGGAGCCAAUACACAGUAAUGAAUCCAAGACAGAAAAAGGUGGCACAGUGGAUAGGAUGCCAAGCCCAGAGGUUUUUUGUUGAAUUCCUUUUCCUGAGCCCAAAUUUGACCUCAGACACUUACUAGAUAAGUAACCCUGGGCAAGUCACUAAACCCUAUUUGCU